rnacentral:rRNA from 1 species
UACGGGGGGGGCAAGCGUUGUUCGGAAUUACUGGGCGUAAAGGGCUCGUAGGUGGCCAACUAAGUCAGACGUGAAAUCCCUCGGCUUAACCGGGGAACUGCGUCUGAUACUGGAUGGCUGGAGUAUGGGAGAGGGAUGCGGAAUUCCAGGUGUAGCGGUGAAAUGCGUAGAGAUCGGGAGGAACACCAGUGGCGAAGGCGGCUACCUGGACCAGCAUUGACACUCAAGCACGAAAGCGUGGGGAGCAAACAGG